CUUGGUCAUUUAGAGGAAGUAAAAGUCGUAACAAGGUCUCCGUUGGUGAACCAGCGGAGGGAUCAUUACCGAGUUAUCAACUCCCAAACCCCUGUGAACAUACCUGAACGUUGCCUCGGCGGGACCGCCCCGGCGCCCAACUCGCGGCCCGGACCCAGGCGCCCGCCGGAGGACCCAAACUCUUGCUUUAAACAGUGGCAUACUCUCUGAGUCUCACAAACAAAAAAUGAAUCAAAACUUUCAACAACGGAUCUCUUGGCUCUGGCAUCGAUGAAGAACGCAGCGAAAUGCGAUAAGUAAUGUGAAUUGCAGAAUUCAGUGAAUCAUCGAAUCUUUGAACGCACAUUGCGCCCGCCAGCAUUCUGGCGGGCAUGCCUGUCCGAGCGUCAUUUCAACCCUCAGGGCCCCCCUUCGCGGGGGUGGACCUGGUUGUUGGGGGCCGGCCGCCCUGCGCGCGCCGCCCCCGAAAUGCAGUGGCGACCUCGCCGCAGCCUCCCCUGCGUAGUAGCACAACCUCGCACCGGAGCGCGGAGACGGUCACGCCGUAAAACGCCCAACUUUCAAGAGUUGACCUCGGAUCAGGUAGGAAUACCCGCUGAACUUAAGCAUAUCAAUAAGCGGAGGA
rnacentral:rRNA from 1 species